UUCGUGGAGUGGAGGUUGUUGUUGGUGUGUGUGAAGAAACUAGACAGCAGAUGGAGGAAGAGCAGAGGACUUUGGAAAGUGUUAUUUAAAAUGGACGUAGCUUUGAUUCAGCACGUCGGCCUCUGUUAAAAAUAUCACGACCUGUCGGCUCAGACUGUUCACACUGAAACAAAGAUGGAGGAUAAAACAGGUGAAGGUAGAAAGUGUGUGUGAGCUGAUGUGAAUUGAGCAGCAUGGAUCAGUGUGAGGA